GCGGAGGUCGAGUGGCUCUA
rnacentral:siRNA from 1 species